rnacentral:lncRNA from 1 species
UACGAACAACAUAUAAACUCUGCUCGCGCACACGAGCAACAAACAUAAUCAAUGAAUUAUGAACUCCUCCUAGGAUUGACGAGGAAAACAACUCCUCGACAUACGGGCAUGGACCUUAAGUCAUUACUCCUACACCUAGGAGCAACGACUUGGGGGGCUCCUGUUCUGGACUGGGCCAAGAGCUGGCCCAAUCACUUAUGCCCGACAUUUGGGGCAUGGCCC